rnacentral:rRNA from 1 species
UACGUAGGGUGCGAGCGUUAAUCGGAAUUACUGGGCGUAAAGCGUGCGCAGGCGGUUUUGUAAGCCAGAUGUGAAAUCCCCGGGCUUAACCUGGGAAUGGCAUUUGGGACUGCAAGGCUGGAGUUUGGCAGAGGAGACUGGAAUUCCUGGUGUAGCAGUGAAAUGCGUAGAUAUCAGGAGGAAUACCGAUGGCGAAGGCAGGUCUCUGGGCUGAAACUGACGCUCAUGCACGAAAGCGUGGGGAGCAAACAGC